CUUCUAGUGAUGAUAUCUAUCCAGUUCUGCUGCUGAAACAAAAGCGAUGAGACCUAAAUAGAUCUGAAGAAG